UUUAACAAUGUUUUCCCAAAGUUUUUACCUAAAAUCUCACAAUACUCUCAAAAAUCAUACACUUCACACACUUUCUUCUUUCCUCACCUUUAUGAUUCUCACUAUUUUUCUCUCAUCUGGAAUCUAUCUUUCUCCCUUCUCUCAUUCUUUAUUUAUGAGAGUGGGGAGCCACGAAAGAAAAGUUGCCACCAUUUCGUCAUACCAUUUAAUCUAAAAGUUUUCACCUUUCAUCACGCCAAUCCAUCUAAAAGGUUACAACAUUUCACAUUUCUCUUUAUCUAAAAGAUUACCACUUUUCACAUGUCAUUUCAUCUACAAUGUUACCACUUUUUACAUGCUACUUCAUCUAAAAGUUGUCAUUUCUGUUAUGUCACUUCAUCUAAAAGUUGGCCCUUUUCACAUGUCACUUCAUCUAAAAGUUAUCACUUUUCGUUAUAUCACUUCAUCUAAAAAUUACCACUUUUCAUUGUACUACUUCAUCUAAAAAGUUCUC
rnacentral:lncRNA from 1 species